UACGUAGGUGGCAAGCGUUGUCCGGAAUUAUUGGGCGUAAAGCGCGCGCAGGCGGCCUUUUAAGUCUGAUGUGAAAGCCCACGGCUUAACCGUGGAAGGUCAUUGGAAACUGAGAGGCUUGAGUACAGAAGAGGAAAGCGGAAUUCCACGUGUAGCGGUGAAAUGCGUAGAGAUGUGGAGGAACACCAGUGGCGAAGGCGGCUUUCUGGUCUGUAACUGACGCUGAGGCGCGAAAGCGUGGGGAGCAAACA
rnacentral:rRNA from 1 species